rnacentral:antisense_RNA from 1 species
CUUCACCGACCCCAGCCACAACGGCCCAUCCCCGGCCCGCUCCUGCCCGUAGGUCGCCAGCAGCGCCUGCGCCUC